GGUGAAUGCUGGCGGCGUGGAUAAGUCAUGCAAGUCAAGGGGGCCCGCAAGGGCAACCGGCAAACGAGGUAGUAACACGUAGGUAGACCCCCCAGAGUCGGGCAUAGCCAGCCGAAAGGUUGGGUAAUUCCCGAUAGUCCCGAAAGGGUAAAGGUUUUUCGCUCUGGGAGUUGCCUGCGUAGUAUCAGCUAGUUGGUAGGGUAAUGGCCUACCAAGGCUACGACGCUUAGGGGAGCUGAGAGGCUGACCCCCACGAUGGAACUGCGACACGGUCCAUACUCCUACGGGAGGCUGCAGACGAGAAUAUUCCGCAAUGGGCGAAAGCCUGACGGAGCGACGCCGCGUGAUUGAUGAAGUGCUUC
rnacentral:rRNA from 1 species